GAGCAUUAGAGAACAUGAAGUGGGUGUUCUGAAGUCAUCUGGAUAUCUGACAACUUACUCCAUGCUGACCUUGACAUGUAUUCCUUUUAUGGUCUCAUUGGCUACAUUUGGAGUCUUCUUUCAUCUGGACAAAGAGAAUGUUUUAACAGCAACGAAAGUGUUUACAUCUAUUUCUUUAUUCAACAUUUUGCGACAACCUUUGUUUGAUUUACCCUCUGUGAUCUCUGCUGUAGCCCAGUGGACUAGACUCACCUUCUGCUCCUACUCUCUCAGUCUCUUUUCCUCAUAGAAGAUACGGUAUGAACAAUUUGGGCUACACAUGGUUAAAUCCCUGAGCCACUGUAAUAUAU